UACGAAGGGGGCUAGCGUUGCUCGGAAUCACUGGGCGUAAAGCGCACGUAGGCGGGUCUUUAAGUCAGGGGUGAAAUCCUGGAGCUCAACUCCAGAACUGCCCUUUGAUACUGAAGAUCUUGAGUUCGGGAGAGGUGAGUGGAACUGCGAGUGUAGAGGUGAAAUUCGUAGAUAUUCGCAAGAACACCAGUGGCGAAGGCGGCUCACCUGGCCCGAUACUGACGCUGAGGCACGAAAGCGUGGGGAGCAACAGG
rnacentral:rRNA from 1 species